CAGAUCGAUAGAUAAACUUUAUUUCAACUCGGGAUGAUGAGGCUGAUUAGGCCUCUAGCAAGAUUAUGCUAAUUUACCGAGAAAAAUAACUUUAAACGAAAGAAAAUUGAAAUUAAAAAAUUACAAGAGGUAAAAGAGGUAAAAUUACAAAAUUACAUCAGGCUGGAUGGAGCUGAAAAAGCAUAGUUUAUUUCAGAGCAAUCUAUGAAGUGGUUCUGUUACAUGUGGUUUAUGUUAACAAUUUUCAGGUGAAGAACUUGAUGACUGGAUAAAAGCUCAAAACUGGACAAUCAAGGACGACGGAAAAGUAUAUGUUUGCAACCAGGAAGCUCAUAUCAAGUCCAAGAAUAUUGCAGAGAAAAUUGACUUUGAGAGUGUUGCUGGGAUAAUUGCCGCGGCCAAGUAGAAGUUUCGCGCUGAUAACUUAUUUCCACGUCUGAUGUUACUUCUGGUUUCUGUAUUUACCGAGUCUGCUGAGAAAAUAAAACCAGUUUACCAAU